rnacentral:snRNA from 1 species
AAACCAUAGAGGGCUUGUGUUGGAGUGAAACAGGGAAGAUUAACAUAGCCCUUGAACCAGGAUGAUACACAAGUUUGUGCAGCAUUCCAUUUUUUC